ACAGACACAAAUACACCUAUUCUCAUGUAAAGAUUGCAUCUUUUUUAAAAUUCAGACAAAUGGGUGUGCUUGAAAUGGGGAAUUAUAUUGAUUGGGAACAAGAAUCGUACCCACAAUAUGAAGAUUUCAUAGUGCUUCCUUUGUUUGCCCUUUUCUUUCCCACUGUCAGAUAUUUUCUUGAUAAAUUCGUAUUUGAGAAAGUGGCUAGGAGGUUAAUAUUUGGUAAAAAAAGGUUGGUGCUGGAAAAUGAGACAGAUAGACAGAGAAUAAGGUUACGGAAAUUCAAAGAAUCAGCAUGGAAAUGUAUGUAUUUUCUAUCAGCAGAAGUUUUCGCACUUUCAGUGACCUACAACGAGCUUUGGUUGAAAACAACCAGAUACUAUUGGGUAGGGCCUGGAAAUCAGGUCUGGCCUGAGCAGAAAUAUAAGUCAAAGCUAAAGGCACUGUAUAUGUAUGCUGGUGGAUUCUAUGCAUAUUCGAUAUUUGCACUAAUAAUCUGGGAAACAAGACGAUCCGACUUUGGGGUGUCAAUGAGUCAUCAUGUUGCCACUGCGAUUCUUAUUGUCUUGUCCUAUAUUUUCAGGUUUGCAAGAGUUGGUUCAGUUGUUUUAGCGCUUCAUGAUGCCAGUGAUGUAUUCCUGGAAAUAGGGAAAAUGUCCAAAUACAGUGGUGCUGAAGGUCUUGCCAGUUUUUCAUUUGUGCUUUUUGCUUUAUCUUGGAUUGUACUUCGCCUCACAUACUUCCCUUUCUGGGUUCUUUGGAGUACAAGUUACGAAGUUAUCCAGACCUUGGAUAAGGAGAAGCACAAAGUUGAAGGACCAAUCUANGAAGGACCGAUCUACUACUACGUAUUCAAUUCACUUCUAUACUGCUUGCUGGUUCUUCAUAUAUAUUGGUGGGUGUUGAUAUACCGGAUGCUUGUUAAACAAAUCCAGUCUAGGGGCCAACUAAGUGAGGAUGUUAGAUCUGAUUCAGAAGAGGAAGAUGACCAUGAACAUUGACCAUGCAACAAGUGUUUUAUCUCCUCUGUGAAGGUACUUGAUAGAUCUUCAUAUGGACGCCAAUGGAUAGACGAUAACGUAAAGAAUUGUCAUAAGCAGUUGCAUUCAUAUGUUUUUAUGCAAGUUUCUUUGCCUACAAAAUAGGCACACAUAAUUAUCCAUGUUCCUCCCUGCUGGAAAAAUUAUGGCAAAGAAGUUCCUGCUGUAUUUCUUGAGCCGAGGGUCUUUCGGAAACAACUUUCUACCUUCAUAAGGUAGAGCAAGGAAACAACAAAGAUUCACAUGAACCAGAUAAGCAUUGAAUCUUUGACUCGAAAGUCAAAAAAAGCUGUGAUAAUUUACCUGGUGCCUGUAUUAGUAAGAGGUAGCAAGUAUCGGGUGGAAUAGUUAAGGUACGCUCAAGCUGGCCCCAACGUUGAGGUAGGUUGAAGGCAUUGCUCAUGUACAGGAGACAGAUUGAUCAUUUGCAAGUUGAUAUGUCCACCCUUUUCAUAUCAUUGAUGCUUGCAUAAGGUUAUCUCUUUCUCCUUUAUUUUUUUCCCACUAAGAAUGUGUGCAUAAUGAUGUCGAAUUUGUAAUAUAGAAGAUUUGAAACUGGUCGACCGUUUAGAUUUGGCCCAGAGAAGUUGAUGUAAACUGAUUUCAUCGACUUUCGACAGUAGUUUCCAGUUAUCCAAGUAGAUGUCAAAUUUUGUUCUUAAUGAUUUUAGCAAAAUUUAGAUGUGCAAUUCCCAUUUUCGUUAUUUUUA